AACAGAACAGGUUCCCCGAGGCCGCCUUUUUUCUUGCUAAGCCCUUGGCCUACCAUCCCGGAAGCCUGAGGCGUCCUGCGGGAAAGGACUGGCUCGCCGUCAUAUUUGUGACCCAGGCAGGGUGGAGAGAAAACUAAGCUGCUUUGGUAAUAGUUUCCGGGAAUUCGGGAGUCAAGAAUAAAGCACUUCGACCUAAAAAUAGAGAUCCAGAGUCUAGACAGGGGGUCACCGUGGGCUAGCACCCCUCAGGGUUAGUUUUAUCCUGGGGCACUGCAGGCUGUCAGGACUGCCUGGGCCCUUACUUGGUAUUUGGCAUUAGUCAGGCAUUAUUGGGAACAAUAUUUGAGUUUUUCUUGCUUGAAUGCCUGCUACUGGAUCGUCUCGGGGCCGUCUUGUUUUCACAAUCUCAAAGGUUUGGCUUCUGCACUCCCAGCCCCUAAGGUAAUUUGCCCUUUGCUCCCCUCCCUGGAGGGGACCCUUCCGAAUCUAAUUUAUUAAGCAACACCAGGCAAUUAGAAUAUUGAGACUCUAUGGGGCCCUUGCCCUUGAGCAACUAAAUUUUUUAUUGAAGACGAAAUAUACAUGCAUGAACAAUGUAAGGACAAGGGUGUCCUAAGUGCCAAAUUCCUGGAAGCAAUAAAUGCAGAAGGAUUCGGAUGGGUAGAAAUUGUUAGGUGAAGAGUGGAUAAGGGGGAGAACUUUUCUGGUGAAACAAUCUGAGGAACAAUACUGGAAAAUUAAGAAUGAGCAGGAUUGAUUUGUAGGAUUGUGAGUAAACCGGAAUGACCGGUAAAAGGAAAAGGACAUGACUGACAUUAAAAGAGCAAACAAAGAGUUGACAUUUCUUCCCCUCAGAUUGGCAAAGAAUUAAAACGUCAGCCAAUGUGAGUGAACGUGUUGCAGGGGGACCAGCACUCUGUAACAUAACUUUUCAGUAUGUUAAAAGUCUUAAAGUGGACAUGACUUGUGUUAGGCUCUCAGUUCCCAGAGAAAUCAUCAGAGCUGUGAUCAAAGCUCUGAUGUGAUCAAAACUCUGAUGUGAUUAAUUUUUGAAAAAAUGUAAACCCUAAGUGUCUAGCAAAAGUAAUAAAGAAUUUCUGGCAGUUACCUUUGUGUGAUGGAAUUCUAUGCAGCAAAUAUUGCAAAAGAAUACCAAAUAUGAGAAACUAUGAUAUCAUUGUAAGUGGAAAAAGCAGAGUCCAAACUGGCAUGUGCCUUUUGGCAGUCCUUUUAUUAAAACAAAAGUACCAUAUUGAUAUGUAUAAAAAGAAACUAGGAAUACAGCAAAAUUAACAAUGGUUGAUAAGAUUACAGAUAUUUCACUUUCCUUAUGCUUUUCAGUUUUCUAUGUUGACCUUAUGUUACAUUUAGAAUAAAGUAAAGAAAAUGUAUUUAAAAAAUCAAACCUAUAUAUCAAGGGCUGUUUUGUUCAUAGAAUUAUGGGAGCAGAACUUGUAUUACACAGGGUUAACCUAUGAGAGGACGGUGAGGAACUGGAUGCUCAGUGUAUAAACCUAAAAUGGGUCUUAUAGAAUUAUAGAGUUUAAGUGUAUUUAACACAGUUUUAUAACCGAGAUGUACUGAACAAUUUCUGGGUUCACCAAACCAUGGAAUUUCCUCUUCCUGUCCGACCAACAAAAAUUUUUAAAUUCUUGGCAGAGAUUAUAAGACAUUAAGUGUGGAGGUGGUAUAUCAGAUAAACAUCUUAGUAUCUUGGAUUAUAAAAUUCAACACUCCAUGACAGCAAUUAAAGCGGGUAUAAUUAAAGAGAUGGUAAAUAGGAAACUCAAUGCGGG
rnacentral:lncRNA from 1 species